rnacentral:lncRNA from 1 species
AAAGUUAACAAGAUAAUGAGGAAAAAUAUCGUCUGUUAACGCACAAGAGUGAAACCAUGCUCUUGAUUAUUUUAGGUGUCGCGAAUGCUUUCCAGGUGUUCCACCAACAGGCAUAGAAUAGAUUUCCACUGUCUUGCUCGGCCGGGAGGAGGAAUUCCCUCGGAAGACUGAGACAGAUGAUGAAGAGAGCCAAACGUUUGGGGCUACGCUGGUGAGAUCAUUUCAUUUUACUUCUGAUUAUGCACCUAAUGCUGUUUGUAGAAAAUUGGGAAAAUAGAAUAAAGUAUAAACAGGAGAUAAAAGUUCAUAAUCCCAACACUGAGAUAACAUGCUCAACAUUUUAUUGUGGUUCCUCCAGGCCACUGCUCCAUUAAAAUAUACGUGUGUGUUUCUGUAUCACACAUAGCUGCUCCAUACUAGGAAACUGUCCUAGACCACAUUUCCCCGGCUUUGUGAGGCACCAAGUGUAGCUGUAUAAACUGGUCCCUUGCUGCGGCUGUUGAUACUGGCUCAGGCUGGUGUCUGCGCCACCAACAGAUGUGUGCUUCCUAAACAGGCAUGGGAAAUGUCAAGAUAUACUGUGCACAUCACCCCUAAAAUGCACUGUUCGGAUUAACCAUGUGCUCGACACUGGGCAGGGGCUGCAGACAUUUUUCUGACAUGGGAGGAAGCCUGUUUCCAGUUGUCACGAGGCACCCACUGUUUGCAAGGAAGGAAGGAGCAUUAGUUUCUCCCCCUGGAGGUCAAGUGGCAUGUUCUCCACAGAACUCCACGGAGGCAGAGCUGGGUUUCCUCUUCUCUGUGUGGAAGCCACAGUCAUGCGAAUCAGAAGCCUGCCUUUCUCUCAGGACAGGCGCCCAAGGUAAUGAGGGAAGAGUGUUCCAGCACAGGGCUGUUUUGGUUUGAUUUUUAAUUAA